AGAGUUUGAUCCUGGCUCAGGACGAACGCUGGCGGCGCGCCUAACACAUGCAAGUCGAACGAGCGAGAGAGAGCUUGCUUUCUCAAGCGAGUGGCGAACGGGUGAGUAACGCGUGAGGAACCUGCCUCAAAGAGGGGGACAACAGUUGGAAACGACUGCUAAUACCGCAUAAGCCCACAGCUCGGCAUCGAGCAGAGGGAAAAGGAGCAAUCCGCUUUGAGAUGGCCUCGCGUCCGAUUAGCUAGUUGGUGAGGUAACGGCCCACCAAGGCGACGAUCGGUAGCCGGACUGAGAGGUUGAACGGCCACAUUGGGACUGAGACACGGCCCAGACUCCUACGGGAGGCAGCAGUGGGGAAUAUUGCACAAUGGGGGAAACCCUGAUGCAGCGACGCCGCGUGGAGGAAGAAGGUCUUCGGAUUGUAAACUCCUGUUGUUGAGGAAGAUAAUGACGGUACUCAACAAGGAAGUGACGGCUAACUACGUGCCAGCAGCCGCGGUAAAACGUAGGUCACAAGCGUUGUCCGGAAUUACUGGGUGUAAAGGGAGCGCAGGCGGGAAGACAAGUUGGAAGUGAAAUCUAUGGGCUCAACCCAUAAACUGCUUUCAAAACUGUUUUUCUUGAGUAGUGCAGAGGUAGGCGGAAUUCCCGGUGUAGCGGUGGAAUGCGUAGAUAUCGGGAGGAACACCAGUGGCGAAGGCGGCCUACUGGGCACCAACUGACGCUGAGGCUCGAAAGUGUGGGUAGCAAACAGGAUUAGAUACCCUGGUAGUCCACACCGUAAACGAUGAUUACUAGGUGUUGGAGGAUUGACCCCUUCAGUGCCGCAGUUAACACAAUAAGUAAUCCACCUGGGGAGUACGACCGCAAGGUUGAAACUCAAAGGAAUUGACGGGGGCCCGCACAAGCAGUGGAGUAUGUGGUUUAAUUCGACGCAACGCGAAGAACCUUACCAAGUCUUGACAUCCCUUGACGAACAUAGAAAUAUGUUUUCUCUUCGGAGCAAGGAGACAGGUGGUGCAUGGUUGUCGUCAGCUCGUGUCGUGAGAUGUUGGGUUAAGUCCCGCAACGAGCGCAACCCUUACUGUCAGUUACUACGCAAGAGGACUCUGGCAGGACUGCCGUUGACAAAACGGAGGAAGGUGGGGAUGACGUCAAAUCAUCAUGCCCUUUAUGACUUGGGCUACACACGUACUACAAUGGCGUUAAACAAAGAGAAGCAAGACCGCGAGGUGGAGCAAGACUCAGAAACAACGUCCCAGUUCGGACUGCAGGCUGCAACUCGCCUGCACGAAGUCGGAAUUGCUAGUAAUCGUGGAUCAGCAUGCCACGGUGAAUACGUUCCCGGGCCCCUUGUACACACCGCCCGUC
rnacentral:rRNA from 1 species